UACAGAGGUCUCAAGCGUUAUUCGGAUUCAUUGGGCGUAAAGGGCGCGUAGGCGGUCGUGACAAGUCACUUGUGAAAUCUCCGGGCUUAACUCGGAACGGUCAAGUGAUACUGUCGGACUAGAGUACAGAAGGGGCAACUGGAAUUCUCGGUGUAGCGGUGAAAUGCGUAGAUAUCGAGAGGAACACCUGCGGCGAAGGCGGGUUGCUGGGCUGAUACUGACGCUGAGGCGCGAAAGCCCAGGGGAGCGAACGGG
rnacentral:rRNA from 1 species